CACCUUUCGGCUAACUGGAAAGCCGCCCGGCAGCUAGUCGGGUAAUGCGGGUUCGAGUCCCGCAAGGUGCG
rnacentral:tRNA from 1 species